rnacentral:misc_RNA from 1 species
UCUCCGUAGGUGAACCUGCGGAGGGAUCAUUACUGAGUGAGGGCUCACGCCCGACCUCCAACCCUUUGUGAACACAUCUUGUUGCUUCGGGGGCGACCCUGCCGGCACUCUGUCGCCGGGCGCCCCCGAAGGUCUCCAAACACUGCAUCUUUGCGUCGGAGUUUAAAACAAAUUAAAAAAAACUUUCAACAACGGAUCGCGGGGUGCUGGAAUCGAUGAAGAACGCAGC